rnacentral:rRNA from 1 species
AAGGGAGUAAAGUUAAUACCUUUGCUCAUUGACGUUACCCGCAGAAGAAGCACCGGCUAACUCCGUGCCAGCAGCCGCGGUAAUACGGAGGGUGCAAGCGUUAAUCGGAAUUACUGGGCGUAAAGCGCACGCAGGCGGUUUGUUAAGUCAGAUGUGAAAUCCCCGGGCUCAACCUGGGAACUGCAUCUGAUACUGGCAAGCUUGAGUCUCGUAGAGGGGGGUAGAAUUCCAGGUGUAGCGGUGAAAUGCGUACAGAUCUGGAGGAAUACCGGUGGCCAAGGCGCCUCCUUGGACAAACACUGACG